AUUGAACGCUGGCGGCAGGCCUAACACAUGCAAGUCGAGCGGUAACGCGGGGCAACCUGGCGACGAGCGGCGGACGGGUGAGUAACGCGUAGGAAUCUACCUGGUAGUGGGGGAUAGCCCGGGGAAACUCGGAUUAAUACCGCAUACGCCUCAAGGGGGAAAGUGGGGGAUCUUCGGACCUCAUGCUAUCAGAAGAGCCGGCGUUGGAUUAGCUAGUUGGUAGGGUAAAAGCCUACCAAGGCGACGAUCCAUAGCUGGUCUGAGAGGAUGAUCAGCCACACUGGAACUGAGACACGGUCCAGACUCCUACGGGAGGCAGCAGUGGGGAAUAUUGGACAAUGGGGGCAACCCUGAUCCAGCCAUGCCGCGUGUGUGAAGAAGGCCUUCGGGUUGUAAAGCACUUUAAGCAGGGAGGAAGGCUUCACGGUUAAUAACCGUGGGGAUUGACGUUACCUGCAGAAUAAGCACCGGCUAACUCCGUGCCAGCCGCCGCCGUAAGAC
rnacentral:rRNA from 1 species